rnacentral:rRNA from 1 species
GUUUGAUCCUGGCUCAGGAUGAACGCUGGCGGCGUGCCUAAUACAUGCAAGUCGAGCGAAUGGAUUAAGAGCUUGCUCUUAUGAAGUUAGCGGCGGACGGGUGAGUAACACGUGGGUAACCUGCCCAUAAGACUGGGAUAACUCCGGGAAACCGGGGCUAAUACCGGAUAACAUUUUGAACUGCAUGGUUCGAAAUUGAAAGGCGGCUUC